AUUGAACGCUGGCGGAAUGCUUUACACAUGCAAGUCGAACGGCAGCACGGGGGCAACCCUGGUGGCGAGUGGCGAACGGGUGAGUAAUAUAUCGGAACGUGCCCAGUCGUGGGGGAUAACGUAGCGAAAGUUACGCUAAUACCGCAUACGAUCUACGGAUGAAAGCGGGGGAUCGCAAGACCUCGCGCGAUUGGAGCGGCCGAUAUCAGAUUAGGUAGUUGGUGGGGUAAAGGCUCACCAAGCCAACGAUCUGUAGCUGGUCUGAGAGGACGACGAGCCACACUGGGACUGAGACACGGCCCAGACUCCUACGGGAGGCAGCAGUGGGGAAUUUUGGACAAUGGGCGCAAGCCUGAUCCAGCCAUUCCGCGUGCAGGACGAAGGCCUUCGGGUUGUAAACUGCUUUUGUACGGAACGAAAAAGCCUUGGCUAAUACCCAGGGUCCAUGACGGUACCGUAAGAAUAAGCACCGGCUAACUACGUGCCAGCAGCCGCCGCAG
rnacentral:rRNA from 1 species